GAUAAAUUGUAAACGAAUUGCGUUGUGUUUCUUAAACUCGCUCAUAGAGGCCGCCAUUUUUUACCUCGCACUUCCGGAUGAACCAGGUAACAGUGCAGAUUGGCGAAUGGGCCUUCUGAGUAUGAUUAUGAUUGCUUGAUUGCAGACAUUCACCAGGAUGAAACUCUUUUUAUUAUUGUGAGUGGUCAAGCUCUGAACUCACCGUGCCGUUCAUUUAAAGAGAUGCUGAGAAGCCGUAUGAUGGAGAAGCCAUACGAGACCCAUGGGACAUGAAAAAAUUCGAAACACAUCAAAUCCUGUGAACUCUGGAGAGCCAAAAGAAAAAAAGCGCAUAUUGACAUUUUGGCGCAGUGAAAACCUACUCUGGUAGAUUAGCAAAGGACUGCCAGACUCCUUAAAGAGAAAACAAUCUGCCAAAUUGGGAAAGAAGGAUGAGUGGAGAUUCUACAACUUUAGAAAAUGUACUUGAUUUUCAGUUUUUUUUUCCUUGAAUAUUUUGCAAUCCACAAAUUUCUACAAGCUUUACAUGCUUUUCUGAAAUUUCUGUAUAGCUACUGAGAAACAAUAAAGAACCUACUGUAUUUUAUGCAUAGGGUCAGUAAUGUCUG